GGAACUGAGAGAUGAUCGCUUGCGCCGAAUAUCGCGGCGCAGGAGGAAAGUCCGAGCUCCAUAAGGCAGGGUGCUCCGUAAUUCGGAGGAUUGCUUUCCAUAAGGGAGGCAAGACGGAAAGUGCCACAGAGAAGAGACAUCCUCCGCCACUUUUGUGAAUGGUACAAGGUAGGAACCUUACCAUGGCGGAGGAUCAGGUGAAACGGCGGUGUAAAAGACCACCGGUCCAAAGGCAACGGCGGACGCUUGGCAAACCCCACUUGGAGAAAGACCGAAUAAAAGAUGAAUGGCUCGCCUCGAAAAUCAUCGAGCCAGGGAGCCGCCUGCUCCCUUCCGUCAGUAGUGUGACGGGCAAGUCUUGGGUUGGUCGCGGGAGAUUCUGUGAGAGCGGAAUCCUAGACAGAUGAUCAUCAUUCUUUGCCGUUCUGGGUUUUAGGACCCGGCGGCGGAGAAUACAGAACUCGGCUUAACUCGGUUCUGCCG
rnacentral:RNase_P_RNA from 1 species